rnacentral:rRNA from 1 species
CAGAGGGUGCAAGCGUUAAUCGGAAUUACUGGGCGUAAAGCGCGCGUAGGUGGUUUGUUAAGUUGGAUGUGAAAUCCCCGGGCUCAACCUGGGAACUGCAUUCAAAACUGACUGACUAGAGUAUGGUAGAGGGUGGUGGAAUUUCCUGUGUAGCGGUGAAAUGCGUAGAUAUAGGAAGGAACACCAGUGGCGAAGGCGACCACCUGGACUAAUACUGACACUGAGGUGCGAAAAGCGUGGGGGAGCAAAACAGGA